ACUUUUCCAGCGGUCAGCGUUUAACCUCUUUGUAGGCUCUCAGCUGUUUAAUAUUGAUCUUUAGGUGACACACUAUUCCUCAAACGUUGUCUUGGACACUUCUGUUCUCCCCACUAGUGUUACUAAUAUGAUAAGGGAAGUUUUGCAAUUUAGACUGGGGUAGACGCGGUAUUUAACGGACAACGAGCCACGGCAAUGUUAGAAACAUAAGCAAAAAUCAAACUGCUGGAGUUGUUCAGCGGAUCAGACCGUCCAUUCAAAGGCUGGUGGGUGUAUGGAACAAGCUGCCAAGGGAGGUAGUUGAGGCAGGGAUUAUCGCGACAUUGAAGAAACAAUUAGACAGGUAGCUGGAUAGGACAGGUUUGGAGGGAUAUGGGCCAAACGCGGGCAGGU